rnacentral:rRNA from 1 species
AAAUUUGAAAUCGCGUCAGGGGGACCUGGUCGCGAGUUGUAGUUUGAUGGGGUAUGCUUGGUGGGCGCCUAGGUCUAAAUCCCUUGGAAAAGGGUAUCAUAGAGGGUGACAAUCCGUCUGUGGCCUAGUCAGCGGUCUAUCGUGUAAGCUACCCUUCAAAGAGUCGGGUUGUUUGGGAAUGCAGCCCUAAGCUGGUGGUAAAUUCCAUCUAAAGCUAAAUAUCCGUGAGAGACCGAUAGCGAACAAGUACCGUGAGGGAAAGUUGAAAAGCACUCUGGAGAGAGAGUCAAACAGCACGUGAAAUUGUUAACAGGGAAACGUUGGGCACCAGUACGCGCCUCGCGUGAAAUCAACCAUCUUUUCCCCGAGAGUUUGCCUUGGUGGAGUGAGCCUUAACAAGCCGCUUGCCGAGGCGUGCUCGAGGGGGGUGGUGCACUUUUGCGUGGGCGGGUCAACAUCGGUUAGGGCCGUCGUAAACGGCCUUAGGGAAGGUAGGUUCCGCUUUCGGGUGGAUCAACUUAUAGCCCUGAGGAUUGCCUACGAUGACUCUGACCGUGGAUUCGCGAUCCGUGCUCCCUUCGGGGGGCAGGCCCCCUCGGCCCUCGUUGAUCCCCUUGGCUCAGGCAGCUUGCUGACUGGGUUGAGCGAGGAUUGCGAUGUCGGUUGAGGUAGGGCUCUAACGGGUCACGGACGUUGGCGAAAUGGUUCUCAACGACC